rnacentral:rRNA from 1 species
CAGCCGCCGCGGGAAUACGAAGGGUGCAAGCGUUACUCGGAAUUACUGGGCGUAAAGCGUGCGUAGGUGGUGGUUUAAGUCCGUUGUGAAAGCCCUGGGCUCAACCUGGGAAUUGCAGUGGAUACUGGGUCACUAGAGUGUGGUAGAGGAUAGUGGAAUUUCCGGUGUAGCAGUGAAAUGCGUAGAGAUCGGAGGGAACAUCUGUGGCGAAGGCGACUAUCUGGGACAACACUGACGCUGAGGCACGAAAGCGUGGGGAGCAAACAGGAUUAGAUACCCCCGUAGUCCCUGUCUCUUAUAC